rnacentral:rRNA from 1 species
AGCAGCAGCCACGGUAAUACCGAGGGUGCAAGCGUUAAUCGGAAUUACUGGGCGUAAAGCGCGCGUAGGUGGUUUGUUAAGUCGAAUGUGAAAUCCCCGGGCUCAACCUGGGAACUGCAUCCGAAACUGGCAAGCUAGAGUAUGGUAGAGGGUAGUGGAAUUUCCUGUGUAGCGGUGAAAUGCGUAGAUAUAGGAAGGAACACCAGUGGCGAAGGCGACUACCUGGACUGAUACUGACACUGAGGUGCGAAAGCGUGGGGAGCAAACAGGAUUAGAUACCCCCGUAGUCCCUGUCUCUUAUAC